AGACAAGGCAAGAGAUGCUGACGAGCCACGGGAAGGGGAACAGAGGCUAGGAUUCUUCCCCAGAGCCAUCCAGGAGACAUGGCUGACAUCUUGAUUGAAGUCUCUGUUCUUCAGAAUGUAGAUACGAGCGUCUGACGUUAGGUUGCCCAGCCUCGGGUGAUGUUAUGACAGAACCAGGGUAGACCGUAACGUUUUGUUAUUUCACGGGAUUUGUAGCAGCGUUAGUACCAACAACAAAGCUCACACCACAGCAACUGAGAUAAUAAAGUCUGAGGGAGACGUCCACAUCUGCAUGGGCAAAGUCUGAGGGAGACGUCCACAUCUGCACGGGCGAAGUGGAGAGGGAAAGACAGCAGAGGGCCAUGUCCCUCCACCGUAGGCACGGGCAUGACAUCACAGGACCAAGUCCAUCCACCCUAGGCACAGGCAUAACACCUACCCACCAGGAAGUCACUUGUGAUAAGCACAAAGCUGAACUCAUUCCCACUUCUGCCUCUACCUUCCUGAGUUCUAUUCCUAUCAGAGUAAACCAGAAGCCUGCAGGCACU
rnacentral:lncRNA from 1 species